rnacentral:rRNA from 1 species
AAUUAACGCUGGCGGCAUGCGUAACACAUGCAAGUCGUACGAGAAAGCCCGGUUCGCCGGGCGAGUAAAGUGGCGCACGGGUGAGUAACGCGUGGGUAAUCUACCCCGGUCUGGGGGAUAACGCACCGAAAGGUACGCUAAUACCGCAUGACCCGACGGGUCCCUGGACCCAUCGGCAAAGGUGGCCUCUGCAUGCAAGCUACCGAACCGGGAUGAGCCCGCGUCCUAUUAGCUUGUUGGUGGGGUAAUGGCCCACCAAGGCGACGAUGGGUAGCUGGUCUGAGAGGACGGCCAGCCACACUGGAACUGGUACACGGUCCAGACUCCUACGGGAGGCAGCAGUGAGGAAUAUUGCGCAAUGGGGGAAACCCUGACGCAGCGAUGCCGCGUGGGUGAAGAAGGCCUUCCGGUCGUAAAGCCCUGUCAGGCGGGAAGAAUAGCCCCGGGGCUAAUAUCUCCGGGGUGUGACGGUACCGCUGAAGGAAGCACCGGCUAACUCCGUGCCAUCAGCCGCGGUAAGACGGACGGUUGGCAGCGUUUUUCGGAAUUAUUGAGCGCAAACGGCGUGCAGGCGGCCGGUCCCAGUCUGAAUGAGAAAAGCCGGGGGCUUAACUUCGAAAGGGCGUUGGAAAUCGGGCUGGGCUGAAGUUCGCGAAGCAGCAAUCCUGUAAUUUCCGGGGGCAGAAGGGGAAAAUUCGAAAAAAUUUAUGGUAGAAAACCGGGGUGGGAAGAGGGGUUCUUCCGGGGCCGAAACAGGUACUUUGACACACGCCAAAGUCGGCGGGCAACCCUACGGGCCUUUCGCGACCCUUGGGCUGUCCACCGUGUUCAUAUACGGACGCGUACCUCAUGCGGG